AGCUUUGUGCAGUAGCAGUAUCAUAGCCAAUUAGGUGUGUCCAAGGCAUGAUUAUUGCUAAUUGAAAAUAUAUACAAAAGAUAGAUAAUUCCUUUUUUAAAUAUCUGAAUGUCAUUCCAAAUUAUAUAUGG
rnacentral:snRNA from 1 species